rnacentral:rRNA from 1 species
UACGGGGGGGGCAAGCGUUGUUCGGAAUUACUGGGCGUAAAGGGCGCGUAGGCGGCGCGACAAGUCACUUGUGAAAUCUCUGGGCUCAACCCAGAACGGUCAAGUGAUACUGUCGUGCUAGAGUGCGGAAGGGGCAACUGGAAUUCUUGGUGUAGCGGUGAAAUGCGUAGAUAUCAGGAGGAACACCAGCGGCGAAGGCGGCGCUCUGGGCCGGAACUGACGCUGAGGAGCGAAAGCGUGGGGAGCAAACAGG